CUUACCAUGCAAGUCGAACGAUGAUUCAAGCUUGCUGGUAUGAUUAGUGGCGAACGGGUGAGUAAUGCUUAGGAAUCUGCCUGGUAGUGGGGGACAACAUUCCGAAAGGAAUGCUAAUACCGCAUACGACCUACGGGUGAAAGGGGGCGCAAGCUCUCGCUAUCAGAUGAGCCUAAGUCGGAUUAGCUAGUUGGUGGGGUAAAGGCCUACCAAGGCGACGAUCUGUAGCUGGUCUUAGAGGAUGAUCAGCCACACUGGGACUGAGACACGGCCCAGACUCCUACGGGAGGCAGCAGUGGGGAAUUUUGGACAAUGGGCGCAAGCCUGAUCCAGCCAUGCCGCGUGUCUGAAGAAGGCCUUCGGGUUGUAAAGGACUUUUGUCAGGGAAGAAAAGGUUGGUGCUAAUAUCGCUGACUGAUGACGGUACCUGAAGAAUAAGCACCGGCUAACUACGUGCCAGCAGCCGCGGUAAU
rnacentral:rRNA from 1 species